AAGGUCGAGCGCAAGAACAAGAGCUCGUCAAGGAGUUACUAAUCUGUAGCAAAGCUUUGCUGUCAGGUUGAGCAGUGGCUGAUGAAGAUGAAGUGAAGAGCGGAGCUUUUGUCAAAAGUUAAAUGAAUGAACUCUUGGAUACAUGUCUUCAUACAUGUAAUCAGAUUAUGUUAUUCCGCUGCGUAUUCUUAAGUAAUAAGUCUUUUGAAUUAAGUCGGAUUUAUCCGAACUUACUAGUUUGUUUGAGUCAAUAUGACUUAACCUCCGUUAUAUUAUAAAUAUUCCUUUUGUUAACAAUGAUUAAA